ACCUUGGCGUUCCCUUGGUGUGCUGGCUGUGGUGCUGGCUGUAGUUCUUCCGUUUUUUUCUCUGGGUUUUGCUGUUAUAUCAGGAAAGGUCUUUACAUUAUUUGCCGUAUUUGACAGUGAAAUAGGUACACUAAUGCUUUCCCUUGGU